AUUCAACUGACGAGUCCCAAAUAGGACGAAGCGCGUGUCCUGGAU
rfam:Schistosoma curassoni strain Dakar, Senegal genome assembly, scaffold: SCTD_scaffold0000054